rnacentral:rRNA from 1 species
GAUGAACGCUGGCGGCGUGCCUAAUACAUGCAAGUCGAGCGACGCGGGGACGGGGGAGUAACACGUGGAGAAACUCCUCUAUGACGGGGAUAACUUCCGGAAACCGGAGCUAAUCCCGAUCAUUAUCGAUGGAUCCACGAUGCAUUAGCUAGUUGGUAAGGUAACGGCGUACAAAGGCAACGAUGCAUAGCCGACCUGAGAGGGCGAUCGGCCACACUGGAACUGAGACACGGUCCAGACUCCUACGGGAGGCAGCAGUAGGGAAUUUUCCGCAAUGGGCGAAAGCCUGACGCAGCAACCCCGCGUGAAUGAUGAAGGUCUUCGGAUUGUAAAACUCUGUUAUUAGGGAAGCGGUAUCUAAUCAGAAAGCCCCGGCUAACUACGUGCCAGCAGCCGCGGUAAUUC